rnacentral:rRNA from 1 species
GACGAACGCUGGCGGCGUGCCUAAUACAUGCAAGUCGAACGCAGUGGGGACGGGUGAGUAACACUUGGGUCACCUCCCAUCAGAGGGGAUAACACUUGGAAACAGGUGCUAAACCGAUACUGAUGGAUGGACCCGCGGUGCAUUAGCUAGUGUGUGAGGUAACGGCUCACCAAGGCCACGAUGCAUAGCCGACCUGUAAUGGUGAGCGGCCACACUGGGACUUAGAUAAGGCCCAGACUCCUAGGGGAGGCAGCGGUAGAGAAUCUUCGGCAAUGGACGAAAGUCUGACCGAGCAAUGCCGCGUGAGUGAAGAAGGUUUUCGGAUCGUAAAACUCUGUUGUUAGAGAAGCGGUAUCUAACCAGAAAGCCACGGCUAACUACGUGCCAGCAGCCGCGGUAAUUC